rnacentral:misc_RNA from 1 species
UUUAAGAAGUGUUUUUCAUGAAUUCAGGAGUGAGUUUUUGAAGAAGAUAGAAGAGAGUAUUUCUCCUUUAAGUGCGUGUUUUUUGUAUAAGAGAAUUUAAUUCUCUAUAAGAGUGCAGCUAUCUUUAAAGGUGCCGGGGAAGGUUUUCCGGUUUGUCCCGGAGGGCUUGUAGCUCAGUUGGUUAGAGCGCGCGCUUGAUAAGCGUGAGGUCGGAGGUUCAAGUCCUCCCAGGCCCACCAAUUUAGAUUUGUUUAACCUGCUGUUGAUGGUUUUCUCCUUCAUAAAUAAAGUAUUUCAGGGGAAAGAAUCUCGUAAAGGCCUCGAGUUCUUAAUAAGAGCUGAGGUUUUUUAUAGAAUACUUGUAGUACAUAUUAUGAGAUUUUAAUAAAAAUGUGAGACUGUCAAGAAACUUGGUCAGUUUUGAUUUGAGGGUUAGGUUAGCGCUUUCUUUUAGGGGCCGUAGCUCAGCUGGGAGAGCACCUGCUUUGCAAGCAGGGGGUC